rnacentral:lncRNA from 1 species
AGAGAUUUUUGGAUAGGACUAAAAUCUCUCUAAAAGAGACUAAAAUCAAAUUGUUGUAUUGAAUAUACAUUAUGGUUGUGAGAUCCAGUAUUGCCUAUGCCACCAUCAUUUAUUUGGUGGCAGAAAAUUUUAUUAAAAACAUGCAAGACUGAGCUUUGGAAAAUUCAAUGGAUGAUCUAUUUAAGCUUCACAGAAGCUUCAAUGAUAGCUCCUACUGCUACUCUUGAAAUUCUUUUUGGCAUUCCUCUCUUGCAUUUAUAUGAUGAAGCUAGUCCCAGGAGAGUUAGUAUAGGCUUCAUUGUUGUUAAGAACUUCUUGAAAUGGAGCAUUUGUUUUUUGAAUGGAAUGAGUCAUUUAUAAUCACAUUCUCGAGAUGGAUAAGGAUCACAUGAUGGCCAGAUUCAGCUUCCCCAGAACCUUCACAGUUGUUUUUCCCAGCAUGGAGGAGUAGAUUUGAGCUGGUCUGCAUACAGAUUGUUCUAAAACCUCGAUUAGUAUAGGGCAGCAUAUACUGUGAGGGAAUGAGGCUAUCUUAUUACCUUGUUACUGUCUUUCAGGCAGAAUCUAUGGUCUAUAUUUUUUAAAAUAAG